rnacentral:rRNA from 1 species
UACGAGGGGGGCAAAUGUUGUUCGGAUUUACUGGGCGUAAAGGGCGCGUAGGCGGCCACCGCAAGUCGACUGUGAAAUCUCCGGGCUUAACCCGGAAAGGUCAGCCGAUACUGCGGGGCUAGAGUGCAGAAGGGGCAACUGGAAUUCUCGGUGUAGCGGUGAAAUGCGUAGAUAUCGAGAGGAACACCUGCGGCGAAGGCGGGUUGCUGGGCUGACACUGACGCUGAGGCGCGAAAGCGUGGGGAGCAAACAGG